rnacentral:lncRNA from 1 species
UUCUCACGUCACACUCAAGGCCUGAAUGCCUUUUCACAUCACACUCAAGGUCUAAAAGCCUUCUCACAUCACACUCAAGGCCUGAAAGCCUUAUAACAUCACUCAAGCCACCUCGUGGCAUAUAAAUGUAUCGCGGGCCCCUCGACCUUACUCAGUCCAGAAAACAUCGUAAGCCCCACGGGCAUCGAUAAAAUAGUAGUGCUCAGCCC